rnacentral:rRNA from 1 species
AAUCAACGCUGGCGGCGUGCCUCAGACAUGCAAGUCGAACGCGAAAGUCCCCUUCGGGGGGCGAGUAGAGUGGCGCACGGGCGAGUAACACGUAGGUAAUCUACCCCCGAGUGGGGAAUAACUCAGGGAAACUUGAGCUAAUACCGCAUAAUGCAGCGGCACCACAUGGUGACAGUUGUUAAAGCAUUUAUGCGCGUUGGGGGAGGAGCCUGCGGCAGAUUAGCUAGUUGGUAAGGUAAUGGCUUACCAAGGCUACGAUCUGUAACCGGCCUGGAGGAGGGCGGACGGUCACACUGACACU